UGGGGACCCCACCCCUGUGGCAGAAAGACUCAGAGUGAAGCGGAAUGCUAGGACUCCUAAAGGGAGAGAGGCAGUCCGAGGGAAGGAAGGGUUCUUGGCACAGCGCUGACUUCUCUGGGCCAAGUGAGAGCCCAGACCCUUUGGAGACUGGGACUGAGCCUUGGUGAAGCGCCACCGGGGAGCUGAGCUGAGUAACCCAUGCCAGUCACGAGAACACUCAGUGCCAACACAUGCCAGCUUGUCUGUUAAACAACUGUUGAUUCGAUGAGCAGAUGGCUGACUUGAGCUUCUUGGGAGGCAAGGAUUGAGCUCGCUGACUUCACAGGCUGGUGAGGAGAAGACUGCUACAUGCAAACAUGCCCAGCAAAUAGAAGCUUCCUGCAUGGAUGCUGGCUUGCCUCCUUCUUUGAAAGUGAAGUGCCACCCUCAAGAGCUUCAAGGGCACAAGGUCUCACUGGUGUCUGUGUGUGUGUGUGUGUGUGUGUGUGUGUGUGUGUGUGUGUGUGUGUUGUGCUGACCCUGUGAUGAUCCUGGGGGGCGGAUGGGCAGUAUGGCAAAGAUUACUUUUUUUUUUUUAAGUGUUUAUUUAUUGAUUAGAGAGAAAGAUAGGAACAGAGAGAUAAAGAACCAAACAUCACUCUGGUACAUGUGCUGCCAGGGAUUGAACUAAGGACCUCAAGCAUUAGAAUCUAAUGUUUUAAACACUGUUCCACCUCUUGGAUCACUUUUUUUUCCCCCUCCAGUGUUAUUGCUGGAGCUUGAUGCCAGCCCCUACGAAUCCACUGCUCCUGAAGGCCAUUUUUCCUAUUUUGUUGCCCUUGUUAUUGUUAUUAUUGUUGCCAUUGCUGUUGUUGUUGUCAGAUAGGACAGAGAGAAAUGGAGAGAGGAGGGGGAGACAGAGAGGGGGAGAGAAAGACAGACACCUGCAGACCUGCUUCACCGCCUGUGAAGCGACUCCCCUGCAGGUGGGGAGCCGGGGGCUCGAACCAGGAUCCUUAUGCCGGUCCUUGUGCUUUGCGCCACCUGCGCUUAACCCGCUGCGCUACAGCCU